UCCAGACUCCUACGGGAGGCAGCAGUGAGGAAUAUUGGUCAAUGGGCGAGAGCCUGAACCAGCCAAGUCGCGUGAAGGAUGACGGCCCUACGGGUUGUAAACUUCUUUUGUCAGGGAGCAAUUGAGUCCACGUGUGGGCUUAGCGAGAGUACCUGAAGAAAAAGCAUCGGCUAACUCCGUGCCAGCAGCCGCGGUAAUACGGAGGAUGCGAGCGUUAUCCGGAUUUAUUGGGUUUAAAGGGUGCGCAGGCGGUCGGUUAAGUCGGCGGGCACAGCCCGGGGCUCAACCCCGGCCCGCCGUUGAAACUGGCAGUCUCGAGUUGGAGAGAAGUAUGCGGAAUGCGCGGUGUAGCGGUGAAAUGCAUAGAUAUCGCGCAGAACUCCGAUUGCGAAGGCAGCAUGCCGGCUCCACACUGACGCUGAGGCACGAAAGCGUGGGUAUCGAACAGGAUUAGAUACCCUCGUAAUA
rnacentral:rRNA from 1 species